UAAAAUUUCGUUUUGCUUUUAGAUUUGGAUUUUGGCUGCCUAAACCCCUUUUGCUUUUGUUUUUGGCAAUACUAAGCGUAAAACCCUUUGUUAUAAUCAACUGUAAUAACAAAAAGUUCGUCGCCAAGUAGACACCGCCAAGCGGGAUUAGUUGGUUGAUGUCUCGUUUCCUAGGAGUUUUCGAUUAACCCAGCAAAUUGUUCGGCGCACGUCUCACUUUCAUUCUUAUAUAGAAUGGCAUAAUUUUUAUUUUUUUUAUUUUUU
rnacentral:lncRNA from 1 species